rnacentral:tRNA from 1 species
GACAGCUUGGCCGAGUGGUUAAGGCGAUAGACUAGAAAUCUAUUGGGGUAACCCGCGUGAGUUCAAAUCUCACAGCUAUCG